AACGCACGAGACCUGCGGACCUGCGGAAGGAUCAUUACCGAGUUAUCCAACUCCCAACCCCUGUGAAUUAUACCUUUAAUUGUUGCUUCGGCGGGACUUCGCGCCCGCCGGGGACCCAAACCUUCUGAAUUUUUUAAUAAGUAUCUUCUGAGUGGUUAAAAAAAUGAAUCAAAACUUUUAGCAAUGGAUCUCU
rnacentral:misc_RNA from 1 species